rnacentral:rRNA from 1 species
ACGUCAGGUAGGUAAAUCCGCCUGGCACAUAGUCUGAGACCUGAUGCCGAGCCGAUUGUGGUGAAGUGGAUGAUCCUAUGCUGUCGAGAAAAGCCUCUAGCGAGUUUCAUGGCGGCCCGUACCCUAAACCGACUCAGGUGGUCAGGUAGAGAAUACCGAGGCGUUCGGGUGAACUAUGGUUAAGGAACUCGGCAAAAUGCCCCCGUAACUUCGGGAGAAGGGGGGCCAUGUCUGGUGAUCCGAUUUACUCGGUGAGCUGGGUGUGGCCGCAGAGACCAGCGAGAAGCGACUGUUUACUAAAAACACAGGUCCGUGCGAAGCCGUAAGGCGAUGUAUACGGACUGACGCCUGCCCGGUGCUGGAACGUUAAGGGGACCGGUUAGUCACAUUUCGGUGUGGCGAAGCUGAGAACUUAAGCGCCAGUAAACGGCGGUGGUAACUAUAACCAUCCUAAGGUAGCGAAAUUCCUUGUCGGGUAAGUUCCGACCUGCACGAAUGGCGUAACGACUUCUCGACUGUCUCAACCAUAGGCCCGGUGAAAUUGCAUUACGAGUAAAGAUGCUCGUUUCGCGCAGCAGGACGGAAAGACCCCGGGACCUUUACUACAGUUUGAUAUUGGUGUUCGGUUCGGCUUGUGUAGGAUAGGUGGGAGACUGUGAAGCAUGCACGCCAGUGUGUGUGGAGUCGUCGUUGAAAUACCACUCUGGUCGUGCUGGAUGUCUAACCUGGGUCCGUGAUCCGGAUCAGGGACAGUGUCUGAUGGGUAGUUUAACUGGGGCGGUUGCCUCCUAAAGAGUAACGGAGGCGCCCAAAGGUUCCCUCAGCCUGGUUGGUAAUCAGGUGUUGAGUGUAAGUGCACAAGGGAGCUUGACUGUGAGACCGACGGGUCGAGCAGGGACGAAAGUCGGGACUAGUGAUCCGGCGGUGGCUUGUGGAAGCGCCGUCGCUCAACGGAUAAAAGGUACCCCGGGGAUAACAGGCUGAUCUUCCCCAAGAGUCCAUAUCGACGGGAUGGUUUGGCACCUCGAUGUCGGCUCGUCGCAUCCUGGGGCUGGAGUCGGUCCCAAGGGUUGGGCUGUUCGCCCAUUAAAGCGGUACGCGAGCUGGGUUUAGAACGUCGUGAGACAGUUCGGUCCCUAUCCGCUGUGCGCGUAGGAAUAUUGAGAAGGGCUGUCCCUAGUACGAGAGGACCGGGACGGACGAACCUCUGGUGUGCCAGUUGUUCUGCCAAGGGCAUGGCUGGUUGGCUACGUUCGGGAGGGAUAACCGCUGAAAGCAUCUAAGCGGGAAGCCUGCUUCGAGAUGAGUAUUCCCACCUCCUUGAGAGGGUAAGGCUCCCAGUAGACGACUGGGUUGAUAGGCCGGAUAUGGAAGCCCUGUAAGGGGUGGAGUUGACCGGUACUAAUAGGCCGAGGGCUUGUCCUCAGUUG